UUUUGACCGUGCGAAGGUAGCGCAAUCACUUGUCUCUUAAAUGGAGACCUGUAUGAAUGGUGGAACGAGGGCUUAGCUGUCUCCCCUUUCAAGUCAAUGAAAUUGAUCUGCCCGUGCAGAAGCGGACAUACACCUACAAGACGAGAAGACCCUUUGGAGCUUAAGAUACAAGAUCAACUACGUCAAGAACCCAGUUAAACUAAGUAGCACCUGAUCCCAAUCUUCUGUUGGGGCGACCACGGGAGAAAAUAAAGCUCCCACGCGGACUGGGGCAACCCCCUAAAACCAAGAGUGACAACUCUAAGUCGCAGAAUCUCUGACCAAAAGAUCCGGCUACCUGCCGACCAACGAACCAAGUUACCCUAGGGAUAACA
rnacentral:rRNA from 1 species